UUCGGGGAGCUUGCACAGGUGCUGCAUGGCUGUCGUCAGCUCGUGUCGUGAGAUGUUCGGUUAAGUCCGCUAACGAGCGCAACCCUCGCUGUGUGUUAUAUGUGUCACACGGGACUGCCGGUCUUAAGCCGGAGGAAGUGGGGAUGAUGUCAAGUCAGCAUGGCCUUUAUAUCCUGGGCUACACACACGCUACAAUGGCCAACACAAUAGGUUGCUAAGCCGCGAGGUGGCGCCAAUCCAUAAAGUUGGUCUCAGUUCAGAUUGUAGGCUGCAACCCGCCUGCAUGAAGAUGGAGUUGCUAGUAACCGCAGGUCAGCUAUACUGCGGUGAAUACGUUCCCGGGGCUU
rnacentral:rRNA from 1 species